GAUGAACGCUGGCGGCGUGCCUAAUACAUGCCAGUCGAGCGAACGGACGAGAAGCUUGCUUCUCUGAUGUUAGCGGCGGACGGGUGAGUAACACGUGGAUAACCUACCUAUAAGACUGGGAUAACUUCGGGAAACCGGAGCUAAUACCGGAUAAUAUUUUGAACCGCAUGGUUCAAAAGUGAAAGACGGUCUUGCUGUCACUUAUAGAUGGAUCCGCGCUGCAUUAGCUAGUUGGUAAGGUAACGGCUUACCAAGGCAACGAUGCAUAGCCGACCUGAGAGGGUGACCGGCAAAAGUGGGACUGAGAUACGGCCCAGACUCCGAGGGGAGGCAGCAGUGGGGAAUAUUACACAAUGGGAGGAAGCCUGAUGCAGAAACGGAGCGUGCGGGAUGACGGCCGGAGGGUGGUAAACCGAUCUCGCCGGUGACGAAGCGUGAGGGACGGUAAUGGGUAAAGAAGCACAGGCUAACGACGUG
rnacentral:rRNA from 1 species